rnacentral:rRNA from 1 species
AUUGAACGCUGGCGGCAGGCCUAACACAUGCAAGUAGAACGAGUGGCGGACGGGUGAGUAAUGUAUGGGAAACUGCCUGAUGGAGGGGGAUAACUACUGGAAACGGUAGCUAAUACCGCAUACCAUCGGAUGUGCCCAGCUGGGAUUAGCUAGAAGGGGGGGUAAAGGCUCACCUAGGCGACGAUCCCUAGCUGGUCUGAGAGGAUGACCAGCCACACUGGAACUGAGACACGGUCCCGCCUCCUACGGGAGGCAUCAGUGGGGAGUAUUGCCCAAUGGGCGCAAGCCUGAUGCAGCCAGGCCGCGUGUAUGAAGACGGCCGUCGGGUUGUAAAGUACGUUCAGCGGGGAGGCGUUGCCCGCAGAAGAAGCACCGGCUAACUCCGUGCCAGCAGCCGCGGUAAUUC